UUUGUUGCUGUCUUGUUCUAUAUAAAUGUUACUAACAUGCAGGAAAAAUUUAUAUAUGUGUAUAAAUCUUUUCAUUUUAAGCUUAUCAUUUCAUUUAAAUUACUACAUUAUUAGCAGGCAGGUUUGACUUGCAAUAUAAAUUUUUAAUUUAUUUAUUUAGCUGUUCAUUAACAAGUCCGGUGCUUUAUAGUAUAUUUAAAGUUGGUAAGGACGUGAAGAAAACAGGUUUGUAAAUGAUGUUGUACAUCAUGCAGAUAGCUCAGAAGAAGAAGCAGGAAUGUUUGACUGGAAAUAUAAACGAUGUUGUACAUAAUGCAGAUAGCUUAGGCGAAAAAGAGAUUGAUAAAAUGGAGAAUGAGACUAACUACGGUGAAAAAAUAAUGAAUAUCAAAAUGUGAAUGGUACUUUGUUUGACAUCUACCUGUUUCUACAGACACAAUGCAGUCGCACUUAUAAAUGGGCUUGAUGUUUUUUU